rnacentral:lncRNA from 1 species
GUUCUUGAGAAAAAUGUGACGAAAAUUUUCAACUUGGCUAUCAAUUUUAGUCUUAGAUGCAUGAUUUUUUUAUUAGUUGUUAGUGGCUUUGAACUAGCUGUCAGAUAACUGUGAGUACUCUCAGAUCUGUUCCUAGUGUCUUUUUGUUGUUGGGAUGUACAAGUACCCGGCCACGUCCACUUGUAUUUUUGUCCAUCUGAUGAGUUAAGCCUUUUUCAAAUGAUUUUUAUAGUUCGUUCUUAUGCUGUACUGUUAUACCACUAUCCCAGGUUAGGGGGAGGGUUGGGAUCCCCCUAACAUGUUUAACCCCGCCACAUUAUUUAUUUAUGUAUGUGCCUGUCCCAAGACAGGAGUCUGUAAUUCAGUGGUUGCCGUUUGUUUUUGUGUUACAUAUUAGUUUUUCGUUCAUUUUUUUAUCUAAAUAAGGCUGUUUGUUUUCUCAUUUGAAUUGUUUUACAUUGUCAUAUCGGGGCCUUUUAAAGCUGACUAUGCGGUAUGGGCUUUGCUCAUUGUUGAAGGCCGUAUGGUGACCUAUAGUUGUUAAUGUCUGUGUCAUUUUGGUCUCUUGUGGACAGUUGUCUCAUUGGCAAUCAUACCACAUCUUCUUUUUUAUAUCAUGUGUAAAAUGAUACAAAAUGGAUGAACGGGGUGACAGAUAGAAGGACAGACUUAGGUAAAACAGUAUACUCCUACAUUUUUUAAUGCGGGGGUAUAACUAUAAAACAGACAUUUUUUUUUCUCCAGAAACUAUUCCAACAUAAAAGAAAGCAUAAAAAAAUCUU